UUUUUUUUUUUUUUUUUUUUACUCUGGUGCGCCAUAUGUUAUCCAUAUUUCACAUAACCUCUCUUGAUAUCUCCUGUACACCUCUCCACUAAUUAGGGUUUUAAUCACCUCUAGAUAUCUCCAGUAGACCAUUCCAGGUCUAAAUCAAAAAACAUAGCCAUCACUCCAUCCGCCCACAUAUUAGGGUUUUGCUACUUCACCGCUCGAAGGUAUAAUUCUUGAUUAGGGUUUUGCUACUUCCCCAUUCCAAGCGACUCUUAAUCCAUUCAAGCAACGGUAAUGAGUAACCAAUACGCAAGCAGGCAACAAAUUUGAUUUUUCAGAACGUUAUUUUUAUUUGGAGGAAGAAAAUGGCUUUGACUGUGAUGAUUAUUGUAAUUGUUCAGAUCGUUACCAGUUUAUAAUAUUUCAUUAAUGUAAGGAUAUGAGUUUAAUAUACCAGCUUUAUGUUUGAUUCAGAGAUGAAUUUAUAUAGAGGCUUCAGUCUUAUUGAGAUGAUGUCAAACAGCUUCAGUUACGCUAUGCAACAUCACUUAUUGGAGGUCCAUCGACUCCAGCUACUUUUGUGGAUUUAUAUGCUAUUUUGAGCCCACCUUUCCUGGAAUUUAUGACAAAGAGAGGCAGGGGCGUAGCUUAGUGUAAAGUGGGGGAUGCACCCGCCCUCCAGUGUUUCGGUUAGAAAUGUAAAAUUUCCUAUUUUUCGUCCAAAAUUUUUAAAAUUAAAUAGGAUUGUCUCCCCAAUUAUUUUGCCUAAAUAUUUAUACAAUAUAUAAAUUGGGUCCCAUGACUUUCCGUCCCCUCGGAACUUUUGGUCAAGCUCCGCCACUGAAGAGAGGUGUCUACACUCUUUUCUAUCCGGUUUGCUUUAGUUCUCAAUCAUAUGAUCAGUUCUACUUUACCGCGUAGUGUUUUUUCCUUCUCAUCUUUUGUUUUUUUACUUUGCAGGGGCUGCAUUUGCUUUUCCAAUUCCCUCUCGGUAUUCCGACUGUUGCCAUAAUCAUGGUUUUAAAAAACGGUUGAGGCGUGCGCCUCGAGGCGCGCCUUAAGGCGAAACGGCCAAAAAACGAUUCUGAGGCGCGCCUCAGGGGGUUUCUACUGUUUGUGCGCCUCAGAGGGGCUGAGGCGCUAAAAAGGCUGCGCCUCAGGUGCGCCUCAGGGGUUUUAGAUAUUUGUUUUUGAUGUUUUUGCGUUUUUGUGUCAAUUUCAAGCAAUUUAUGUCUUUUUUAUGUGUGUUUUUAAUUAUUUUGAUGAAUUUGAUGAUGAAUUUAGUUAGUAUUACUAUUUUUAUAAGGUAUAUAAUAUUUAUAUUUAUUUUUUAAUUCCGCCUCGGGCUUACGCCUCGGUUCGCCUCGAGGCUUACGCCUCGUGAGGCGAAGUGAAAACGCCUCGAAACUCGUUUCCGUUUUUUUAAACCUUGGCCAUAAUGGGGAAGAUAAUUUCACGCCGACAAAUUGAUGAAACUACUAUAGAUCCGCUGGAACUACUAAAAAAUUUAAAAGGGUGGACUGUUAAGAAAUAUAAGUGUACAGAAACAAAUGGAAGAUAUAGAGUUGACAAGACUUAUCGACAUCCAAAGUCAAAAAAGUGGCUGAGGUCACUCUGCAAAGUAAGAGAGUUCAUACUGGAUAGUUCUUAUACAGGAAAAGCAUCGGAUAAUGGUGAAGGAGGCACACAGCUUGUCAAAAUUACGGGAUUUUUUGGAUUGAAAUUUGGUGAAUUUGGAGUCAUGAGCAUAGGGGAUUUCCACAACCUUCAAUUUUCCAAACUUAAAUUACCAUAUUGAAAAGGUAAACUUGAUUAUCAAGGAGCUCGUUGAGGGAAAGGAUGGAGAAGAAGAAAAGUUGAAUAGAAUUAUUGCGGGGCCGUCGACUGAAAAAGAAAAAGAUAAGGUGGAUAAAUAUACUAUGCUCAAUAGGAUAUCACAAGUUGAAGCUAUGUUAACAGCUAUUGUUCUUAGAUAUGUUAUAAACACUUGGUUUUGAAUGUUUCGAUGUUUAUCAUAUUAGGAUAAUUCCAGUGAUUUAACUUUUUAGUUGGUAUUUAUUGUUAAGUUGUUUUAUAUGAUUUUGUAACAUGGAAAACUAUAAUAGAAAUGUUUUAUAUAA